rnacentral:rRNA from 1 species
UACAGAGGGGGCAAGCGUUGUUCGGAAUUACUGGGCGUAAAGGGCGCGUAGGCGGCCUUCUAAGUCGAACGUGAAAUCCCCGGGCUCAACCCGGGAACUGCGUCCGAUACUGGAAGGCUUGAAUUCGGGAGAGGGAUGCGGAAUUCCAGGUGUAGCGGUGAAAUGCGUAGAUAUCUGGAGGAACACCGGUGGCGAAGGCGGCAUCCUGGACCGGCAUUGACGCUGAGGCACGAAAGCGUGGGGAGCGAACAGG